CAAGCCCCACCCCGCUCGGCGUGUACGACAACGUUUUGAGCCAACGUGAAGUAACCGACGGGAGCUGCUAAGCGGGCCUCGUGGGGCUCGGGGUUGCGGCACCCACCUGCCUUUGCAGGUUCAAAACCGAGUUACACCCGGCGGAGGUGGGGUUUUG
rfam:Sphaerobacter thermophilus DSM 20745 chromosome 1, complete sequence.